CAGUCGCCGCGGGAAUACAGAGGGUGCGAGCGUUAAUCGGAUUUACUGGGCGUAAAGCGUGCGUAGGCGGCUUUUUAAGUCGGAUGUGAAAUCCCUGAGCUUAACUUAGGAAUUGCAUUCGAUACUGGGAAGCUAGAGUAUGGGAGAGGAUGGUAGAAUUCCAGGUGUAGCGGUGAAAUGCGUAGAGAUCUGGAGGAAUACCGAUGGCGAAGGCAGCCAUCUGGCCUAAUACUGACGCUCAGGUGCGAAAGCGUGGGGAGCAAACAGGAUUAGAUACCCCCGUAGUCCCUGUCUCUUAUAC
rnacentral:rRNA from 1 species